AUUGAACGCUGGCGGCAGGCUUAACACAUGCAAGUCGAGCGAGCGGCGGACGGGUGAGUAAUGUCUGGGAAACUGUCUGAGGGAGGGGGAUAACUACUGGAAACGGUAGCUAAUACCGCAUACCAUCAGAUGUGCCCAGAUGGGAUUAGCGAGUAGGUAGGGUAAUGGCUCACCUAGGCGACGAUCCCUAGCUGGUCUGAGAGGAUGACGAGCCACACUGGAGCGGAGAGACGGUCCAGAGUCCUACGGGAGGCAGCAGUGGGGAAUAUUGCAGAAUGGGCACGAGCCAGAUGCAGCCAUGCCGCGUGUGUGAAGAAGGCCUUCGGGUUGUAAAGCACUUUCAGCGAGGAGGCGUUACUCGCAGGAGAAGCACCGGCUAACUCCGUGCCAGCAGACGCGGUAAUAC
rnacentral:rRNA from 1 species